ACUCAAAUGAAUUGACGGGGGCCCGCACAAGCGGUGGAGCAUGUGGUUUAAUUCGACGCAACGCGCAGAACCUUACCAGGCCUUGACAUCCCACGCGAUCCGGAGAGAUCCGGAGUUCCCUUCGGGGACGUGGAGACAGGUGCUGCAUGGCUGUCGUCAGCUCGUGUCGUGAGAUGUUGGGUUAAGUCCCGCAACGAGCGCAACCCUCGCCUUUAGUUGCCAUCAUUCAGUUGGGCACUCUAGAGGGACUGCCGGUGACAAGCCGGAGGAAGGUGGGGAUGACGUCAAGUCCUCAUGGCCCUUACGGCCUGGGCUACACACGUGCUACAAUGGCGGUGACAGAGAGCAGCGACCUAGCGAUGGGUAGCCAAUCUUGAAAAACCGUCUCAGUUCAGAUUGCACUCUGCAACUCGGGUGCAUGAAGGUGGAAUCGCUAGUAAUCGCAGAACAGCAGGCUGCGGUGAAUACGUUCCCGGGCCUUGUACACACCGCCCGU
rnacentral:rRNA from 1 species